AGGGUCGUGUUUGUCCUGGAAAACAGAGGAGCAGAAACAGAAGGACUUCAUUGGGAUUCUGAGCACAGGGGCCUCUCUCACGCCUCCACUUGAACCUUCUCUGGAUUUCGCUGGCUUAUCAUGUCGCCUGCAUUGUGCAAAACUCUGGCACCAAUGGCCAGAUAGAAGCUACCGGCCACUCACCCAGCGUUCCCUGGGAGGCCUUGGUCCACCUCCCCACCGUCUCCUGCUCGGCAGAUGCUUGUGGUCUUUCGUAAAGAGCUGUAGAUUCUCAAAGCUGAGCCUGUGCACCUUGUGAAACAACUUCCCCCAAACGUUCCCAGAGACCUGGCACAGGUGUGAGAGCGCCUCCCCACCCCCGGUGACCUGGGGUCACUAACUCAGCACUGGAAUGGCACCUUUGUGAGGCGCUGUCACAGCUGUCAGCUCACAGGACCACAGACACUUGGGCUGGUUCCUCAGAAGCAAACCCUAAAA